rnacentral:rRNA from 1 species
AUAGGUGGUUUAGGAGGAAGAGAGGGUGCUGGUGGCACAGGGGGUGCUUGGGGGCGAAGUGCAGCGUGUGAGGGGUAGGGGCGGAGCAGCGGAGGAUGGGGGCGUGGUGGCGGGGCGGAGGAAGGGGUCGCGGCGGAGGAUGGGAGCGCGGCGGUACUGCGGAGGAACGGGGCGCGGUAGAGGUGACCCUAGGUGAGGUCGUAAGAGGAUGCUCGGGCGGUGGUCUAGGUAGGUACCCUUCCUCCCCCCACUGGUGCGACCUAGUCCGGCCGAGAUGGCGGUGGCUGACAGUGGUCUCCACGUAGCCCGUGGGUAGGCGGGGUUCUAGGCGGCUUCUACGGGACCUAGGCAACUGGAGGGGGUAGGGGGUGGAUCGGAUAAGACUCUCGUACUCACCCUCUCCCUACCGCGAGCCCCGGCGGAGGAACCAGGAGGAGCAGCAGGAGAGGGUACCACCACCGUACCGCACCGAGAGAUCACCGGUCGAGGUAAUUAUAAAGAAAGAAGACGGUGAGGGGAUAGGGACAGUACCGGACGUAGCCCCAGAGACGGUAGCAGCAUAGAGCCGUAGGGGCUGGGACGUCCUGCCUAUUGUCGAAAUUACUUGACAGGGGACGUACUUCACGUCAGACAAGUGAACGCCUCUGGUCUCACACAACUACGUCAAGUAACUCCCACUCGGGAGUGCCAGAGGCCGUACACAGUACGUCACGCCACGUGCGCAAGCACGUCAGGCCACCUUCACGGCUACAUUCUUCACGCCACUCGAGGAACGGCAACAGCGCCCGAGGAGUUGCUGUGACCUCACCUACCUAAUGCCCAGGUCCAACCGUUACCGAGACCAAGAGGUCCCGCUCCCCCGGGAGAAACGUCGGGUAACUUCAAAUAAAAUGUCGAGCGACUUUCAAACAAAACAUCGAGCGAACGACCAUAUCACGUACCCGUUGCGGAGGCACGUCAAGUUCGUUAGCGCACGCACGUUACGCCGCUCACACACGCCAAGCCGCUGCGUUUCAUAAACGUAAGAGCGAUACAAUUAUGCACCCCAAGUCACGUAAAAUAUUCCCGCUGACGAUGUUUAGUAGGCCGUCUAAAGGAUCCCUUUAGUCAGUCCAGUUCGUGGCAAUAUCCACAACAACAAACACCCAAAAAACACACAGAUAGCUUACAUAGUUCAACCAUAUUCUACAUAAAACAUAUUUUUUAUAAACAAUUCUUCAAGUACAGUUUUUCGUAAUUUAACCAGUGAAAAGUUCUCUUUUUUUUACCUACCUACGUGGAGUGAAGUUACUCAGAACACCAAGUGAUAUAAAUCGUUUUUUGUAUGCCACCUAUUCUUUUGUUUUUGUUCGUUUUUUGGUACACCAAGUGAACGGAGCAGGAGCUUCACGCCUUCUUAAAAAUUUUAAUUUUUCUUUUGUUUUUUACACACACCAAGUAAAACUUCACGCAAACCAGGAACCUACACUAGAUAAAAAAUCUCACUACAACAAGUGAACGGGGGUUGUACUUUGACGUUUUUUUAAUCACUUUGUUGUUCUACCAUUACACCAUGUGAAACUAUAUAUAACGCCGAGUAAACGGGAACAGAAACGCCACGUGAGAGCAGGUAUUUUCUUUCAACUUUUUUCUGUUGUUUUUGAGUAUACUCUUUUUAUUGCAGGCUGUUUUCUUUAAUACGUCGAGCGAACGGGCAGGCUACAUCAUGCCAAAAGUAAGAUUUUCUUCACGCCAGCCGGAACACUACAAGUAGGGCAUUCACGUUUUUUUUACAAUGCCUUCGCCUUUUUUUCAUUACACCACCAUCAACCAGUGUCCAGUAGGGCACAUUCAAGUUGAUGGUCCGCACCACCAUCUCUCUCCGAAAACUGCCACUACAGGUCCUCCACUCCACCUACCGACACCCGCGCCCGAUCCGCCGCUGUUACUCUCUCACGGCAACUACGUGCGUCUCCUGAUGGUAGUUGCGAGUUGAACCUGCCGACGGUCGUUGGUACCACCUGACCGACCACCACCACGGAAUAAAAAAACAUUUAGUUUCGAGGAUGUAAUACG